UACAGAGGGUGCGAGCGUUAAUCGGAAUGACUGGGCGUAAAGGGCGCGUAGGUGGUGAGAUUAGAUGCAUGUGAAAUCCCUGGGCUUAACCUAGGAAUGGCAUGGAUAACUGUCUCGCUAGAGUAUUGUAGAGGGUAGUGGAAUUUCCGGUGUAGCGGUGAAAUGCGUAGAGAUCGGAAGGAACAUCAGUGGCGAAGGCGGCUACCUGGACAAAUACUGACACUGAGGCGCGAGAGCGUGGGGAGCAAACAGG
rnacentral:rRNA from 1 species